rnacentral:rRNA from 1 species
AGAGUUUGAUCCUGGCUCAGGAUGAACGCUGGCGGUAUGCUUAACACAUGCAAGUCGUACGAGAGUUUUUAACUCUAGUGGCGGACGGGUGAGUAACACGUGAGAAUCUACCCUAAGGAGGGGAAUAACAGCUGGAAACGGUUGCUAAUACCCCAUAUGCCGAAAGGUGAAAGGAUUUAUCUACCUUAGGAAGAGCUCGCGUCUGACUAGCUAGUUGGUGAGGUAAAGGCUCACCAAGGCCAUGAUCAGUAGCUGGUUUGAGAGGACGAUCAGCCACACUGGGACUGAGACACGGCCCAGACUCCUACGGGAGGCAGCAGUGGGGAAUUUUCCGCAAUGGGCGAAAGCCUGACGGAGCAAUACCGCGUGAGGGAUGAAAGCCUGUGGGUUGUAAACCUCUUUUCUCAAGGAAGAAGUUCUGACGGUACUUGAGGAAUAAGCAUCGGCUAACUCUGUGCCAGCAGCCGCGGUAAUACAGAGGAUGCAAGCGUUAUCCGGAAUCACUGGGCAUAAAGCGUCUGUAGGUGGUUUGGUAAGUCUGCUGUUAAAGACUAGGGCUUAACCUAGAAGCAGUGGAAACUGCUAGAUUGAGUGUGGUA